AUCUAGCUGACGAGUUCCAAAUAGGACAAAACGAGUGUCCUGGAU
rnacentral:hammerhead_ribozyme from 1 species